AGACCCGAAACCCGGUGAUCUAGCCAUGGGCAGGUUGAAGGUUGGGUAACACUAACUGGAGGACCGAACCGACUAAUGUUGAAAAAUUAGCGGAUGACCUGUGGCUGGGGGUGAAAGGCCAAUCAAACCGGGAGAUAGCUGGUUCUCCCCGAAAGCUAUUUAGGUAGCGCCUCGUGAAUUCAUCUCCGGGGGUAGAGCACUGUUUCGGCUAGGGGGCCAUCCCGGCUUACCAACCCGAUGCAAACUGCGAAUACCGGAGAAUGUUAUCACGGGAGACACACGGCGGGUGCUAACGUCCGUCGUGAAGAGGGAAACAACCCAGACCGCCAGCUAAGGUCCCAAAGUCAUGGUUAAGUGGGAAACGAUGUGGGAAGGCCCAGACAGCCAGGAUGUUGGCUUAGAAGCAGCCAUCAUUUAAAGAAAGCGUAAUAGCUCACUGGUCGAGUCGGCCUGCGCGGAAGAUGUAACGGGGCUAAACCAUGCACCGAAGCUGCGGCAGCGACACUGUGUGUUGUUGGGUAGG
rnacentral:rRNA from 1 species